rnacentral:rRNA from 1 species
GCUUGCUUCUUCUGAUUUUAGCGGCGGACGGGUGAGUAACACGUGGGCAACCUACCUUGUAGAUUGGGAUAACUCCGGGAAACCGGGGCUAAUACCGAAUAAACCAUUUUGCUUCAUGGCAAGAUGUUGAAAGGCGGCUUCGGCUGUCACUACUAGAUGGGCCCGCGGCGUAUUAGCUAGUUGGUAGGGUAAUGGCCUACCAAGGCGACGAUACGUAGCCGACCUGAGAGGGUGAUCGGCCACACUGGGACUGAGACACGGCCCAGACUCCUACGGGAGGCAGCAGUAGGGAAUCUUCCACAAUGGACGAAAGUCUGAUGGAGCAACGCCGCGUGAGUGAAGAAGGUUUUCGGAUCGUAAAACUCUGUUGUAAGGGAAGAACACGUACGAGAGUAACUGCUCGUACCUUGACGGUACCUUAUUAGAAAGCCACGGCUAACUACGUGCCAGCAGCCGCGGUAAUACGUAGGUGGCAAGCGUUGUCCGGAAUUAUUGGGCGUAAAGCGCGCGCAGGCGGUUCUUUAAGUCUGAUGUGAAAGCCCACGGCUCAACCGUGGAGGGUCAUUGGAAACUGGAGAACUUGAGUACAGAAGAGGAAAGCGGAAUUCCACGUGUAGCGGUGAAAUGCGUAGAGAUGUGGAG